AUGAACGACCAUGAUAAGAAAAGAAAAGAAAAGGAUUUAUGGGCCCAUCGUUAUUUUUCUCUUGUUUCCUUUUCUUU
rnacentral:ribozyme from 1 species